rnacentral:lncRNA from 1 species
GUUGGAGUAAAUGGGUUUUUUUCUAACUGGAAUACUGUCAAGGCAGGAGUCCCUCAAGGAUCCAUCUUGGGCCCUUUUCUGUUUUUAUUGUUUGUGAAUGACAUAGUAGAUGCGGUUACAAACAAAUAAAAACUGUUUGCAGAUGAUACUUGUCUAUAUUGUGUUGUACAUGAUGAGAGAUCAGCAGCUGAAUCCUUGGGUCAAGAUCUAGAAUCAUUAGAUCAAUGGGCAGGGGAAUGGGGUGUAACCUUCAAUGCAGACAAAACCAAAUCUAUGUAUUUUACAAGAAAAAGAAAUAUUGAUGUCACAUCACUAUGCAUGAAUGAUGCACCUCUAGAAAAUGUCUCAGAACAUAAACAUCUUGGUAUAACCUUAUCUUCUAAUGCCAAAUGGUCUAGUCACAUACAGGAUAUUUAUUCAAAAGCUUGUAAACGUCUUAAUAUUAUGAGAUAUUUAAAACAUAAGAUUGAUAGACAGUCUCUUGAAAGACUUUAUAUUGCAUUUAUAAGGCCUAUUUUAGAAUAUGGGAACAUAAUUUGGGACAACUGCACACAAGAAGAAUCAGAUCUAAUUGAGUCUGUACAACAAGCUGCUGCCAGAAUUGUAACUGGGCUUCGAAAGGGAACUCCUAGAUGGAAAUUAUAUAAGGA